GAGCAGAGCCCAAAUGAGAAUGCUAAAGGCAACACAACCCCCCAGGACAUUGUUUUCCAGUCCAUGAGCAGAAGCUUUUGGCUGCGGCAGAAGUUCCCCUCUGUCUCAUCUGAAGCUUCUCUAAAGCAUUUGCCAAUGCCCUGAUGUUCCCCCCACCCAAAGGGAAUUAAUGGCUGAGCUGGAAUGAAGAGCACAGCACAGAGAGCAGGCAUGGCCCAGACCUCACAGCACUAAUUAUGCCCUUGAAGGGACUGAACUGCUAAUUUUGGGCAGUCACAGGAGCUGCUCUGGAAAUGCCUGCUAGAGGUAAGUUUUUCCCUUUCCUUAUGCCUUUAUUGCCCCUUCACCUUUUCCUCCUGUACUUUCCCAGUGACAACUUAUUUUGUUCCAACUCACUGGAGAAUCAAGUCAGCUUUAUUAAUGCAAAUAACCAUUAACUUAAUUAACAUGAUAUAAGAAACAGAGAGUAGUUCAAAGAAGACUUAUAUGGACACUGGGGGAA